CGGCGGGACGCCGUCGACUUGCGCAGCCCAUUCCCGGUACUCCGGCUCGCAAGUCAUCUGGAUCAGCCUCCCUCACACCCACGACGUUGCUCUCCACAUCAACCCAGAAGCCGCCGUCCCAGCAGCCACUGCCAAGGUCCACUCAACCGGGGCACCACCUGGCCUUCACCGCGCCGGACUAUGGCGGGUUUGUGGCCGGCCGGAAGACCCAUAGCACAGACGUGCCCGAGAGGGCGCAGCCUGACGGCCGCACAUGCCAGGUCUUCUUCCUCGACCCCGAUGAUUGAAGCUCGUCGACUAGUAGUACAAAGUUUGAUCUCCGCUAUUUUGUUGCUGCAUCUUGAACUGAAAUGGAGGGAAGUAGUGAGACAUCGCCUUUAGGAGAGCCCAUAAUUGCAAAAUUUGUACGAACACUAUCAGCUGUGGAAUCUGUCAAUAGUGUUCAAAAUCAAGAUUUCAGCGAUGCUACCUCGUUUGCAGAGAUAAUUCUCCAAUGGUUCUCAUUGAUGGUGCGAGUACACCAAAAAAGAAACAAGCUUGCUCACAAUAUUGUUCUUCUCAAACCCAUGACUUCUUUUGAGUGAUUAAAUUGUCCAAGUGGCUUCUCUGUCCAGCAUAAAAACAUUUAGCAUGAAGUUUUUUGCUGAGUGGUGUCUCUCCCAGAAUGGCUUACUGUUUUGACCUACUUGCUAAUCAAUUAUUGUCAAGCUGUGAAUCAUGUUUGCUGAGUGGUGUCUCUCCCAGAACAAGAAGCUUGAUGAGCAAGAAGUAGUAGAACUGGAGGGAAAUGCUAGAGCUUAUCGUUUUAAAUAGCAAUGCCUAUUGAGUGAUGAUCAUAUUAGUCCUUAAUACUUUGUCUUGCUGGCCAUGUACUAAAAAUAGUGCUACCAUGUCUCAUCAAGAUAUGUAUGCUUGUGAUAUGCUCAAUC